AGGCUGGACCCAGCCAGCCUCGAGAAGGGAAGAGAGGGACAUCAUGGUGGCGCUGGACUCCCUGCAGGGCUCAGCGGCUCCCUCAGGACAAGGAGAAAGCUGGGAACCUUGAGACAGAACUGGAGGUUCUUGUUGCCUAAAUCUCUCCUGGUCUGCUGCACAUGGAACCCAUUUCUUCCCAUUCAGGGCUCUGCAGAGGCAGAAGAUGAACAGUAAAAUGCAAAGAUCCAGCAACCUUCAGAGCUGGAUGUUCUCACAGAGCUACACAUGCCACGAUCAUCACUAGUUGUGAGAGUCUCCAGUGUUCGUUAAGCCCAUUUUGCUGGAGGAUUAGUCCCUGCCCUUAAGGAGUGCCAAAGAAGACUUUGGAAUCUAAGUCACAUCUCCCCUGCUGCAUUUUUUUCCUCUUGAUAAUCAAGGAAUCUCACUGAUAAAACCCUCAGCGAGGAGCAGCUCUCCCCAUGAGCAAGUUCUUGCCUUCAUUGCCAGGGAGGCCCCAGCUAAGGUUAUACUGGGAAAGGAAUCUCUGGGGAGUACCUGGAAGAGGUCAGCUUCUCCUCAAAGGAAGCCUCUCCAGCUGUGUACUGCAAAGCCUUCCAAGACCAAGUUCCCUCCUCCUGGCCUCUGGAACCAGCCUGUGUGCCAGUGCUGUGUCCCCAGUAACACACAUGAGUCUCUCCCUCAGAAGCCACAGAAGGAUGCAGAGAGAGACCAACCUGGGAUUGAUUCUCAGCCCUAGCACUUACUAAUUGUGUGGACAUAACUGCUCUGGACCUCAGCUUUGCUAUCUAUAAAAUGAGCACCAUUUUAUAGAUAUGAACACUUUAAGAGAGUCAUAAAGAUUGAAGCUGAUCUGUGCUGCACCUGGCACAAAGGCCUCCCUCAGUAAAUGGCAGCCGUUGCUAUUGGGGUGCCCCAACACCUCUUGCCCCUGCCCACUAGCUUUCACUUAGGCCCAUACUGAGGGUGUGGCUGUUGUGUUGGGGGAAGGAAAAAAAACCCUGCCUGGGUUGCAGGGCCCCCACCCCCAACUGGUCUGCCUUUGUGGGAAGCAUUUUCUGAUGCCCUCACCCUACCCCUGGGCUGGUUAACUAAGUGUCCAGCAUCAUGAGGAAAGGAGCAGGGUUCAGGGACAGCUUGGUUCAGCCCUGAAACUCAUCCGGGCCUAGGUCCAGAUGAGAGACAAGCCUGGGAGGCCGUCCCUUGUACCCUUGCCUGUCCUGCAGCACCCUCCAGCCUGCAGGCUGCUCCUGGGUGGCAUAGCACCUUGGAUGUUAGGUGUGGGCCUUCCCAGGCACAUGGCAUGAGGGGGCACUUCUGUGGGUUGUUGGGGGCAGGAAGGGAUGUGUCUCCAGCUGGAUCUGGGCUCUCUCAUUUUGGGGCCCAGCCAUGCCAGGACAGCACACAAGGGCCCUUAGUGCGAAUCUCAUGAUGGAGCAGAGGAGGAGCAAGGCAAAACCAGGGAGUCCCCAGGCCCCUGCUUCUGCCCUGCCCAGAGACAGUGGAGCAGGUGUCUCCAGCUUCUUAACCUCAAGGCACAGUAGGAAAUACAUUUUACAGCAACCAACAGACACAUACAUUUACGAAACGA